UACGAAGGUGGCAAGCGUUGUUCGGAUUUACUGGGCGUACAGGGAGCGUAGGCGGUUGUAUAAGCCCUCCGUGAAAUCUCCAGGCUUAACCUGGAAAGUGCAGAGGGGACUGUUCAGCUAGAGGAUGGGAGAGGGUCGCGGAAUUCCCGGUGUAGAGGUGAAAUUCGUAGAUAUCGGGAGGAACACCGGUGGCGAAGGCGGCGACCUGGGUUGAUACUGACGCUGAGGCGCGAAAGCGUGGGGAGCAAACAGG
rnacentral:rRNA from 1 species